GAAAGAUUAGUUAAUAGUAUAACAUCAGAAUGUCAAACUGAAAUAAUCAGCAAAGAUAUCUUUCU
rnacentral:tRNA from 1 species